rnacentral:misc_RNA from 1 species
GUUGGUGAACCAGCGGAGGGAUCAUUAUCGAGUUUACAACUCCCAAACCCUAUGUGAACAUACCUACUGUUGCUUCGGCGGCCGCCUGGGUCCGGGCCGCGGGCGGCCGCCGGAGACCCCCAAACUCUGUAUUAUCAGCAUCUUCUGAAUACGCCGCAAGGCAACACAAAUGAAUCAAAACUUUCAACAACGGAUCUCUUGGUUCUG